CCACAUACACGCACGAACUGGAGCUCCGUGAAGAAGAUGAGGAGGAGGAUGUUCAAAUGGCAAGACGAGCAGCAAGAUUUCCACGCAGGAAGAAGAGCUGUUAUUGGAUCGUUAAAGUUGGAUUUCUCUCAGCGGUCAGCGCUCACCUGAGCAGCGGGGAUUUCUUUCUUUAUUCUUCUUCAAGACGCAGUGGCAUGUACAGGAGUUCUCUGACAAACAAACGGAUGCAAUUAAAGCCACUGUCAUCACACAUCAUCACUGAGGAAACAAGAAAGGAGAAGGAUGCACACAGGGCCAAGGACUGAAGGAGAAGAGGUUCACUUCCAAGGACACUAAAGUGAACUCAAACAUGACAGUCUUACUCAUUGCAUGAAGUGAGAUGUAUAUUAUGGGAUGCACUAAUACAAGACUUCAGGUACCUAUAGAAUAUUCGAUAUCGAGUGCACAUUUACAUGUUUGGAAUUUUGAUGAAAUGCAUUCUUCUUGUGAAAGUAUUGUUAAAAAUCACAUUUGAUAGAAGAUAGCAUUAUUAUUAUUAUUAUGGUUGAAAGUGCCUAUGCUUUUGAAAAUGAAUUCAUUUUACUGAUAUGAGUAUUUGAAUUAUUCACAGUUGUUAUCAUUCAAACAGUAAUAAUUGUAACAUUUCUCAAUCUUUUAAUGCCAAAAAGGGGUUUUACCUAGUAUAACAAAUACAAAGACCAUAAGAGAGAAGUGAUUGGGCUUCACUAACACAAAUUUUCUUUUACAUAUUAAUCAAAAUAUUUAAAAUAUAAAAUUAAUAUGUUGAUGUUUAAUCUUUCUGUAUA